rnacentral:rRNA from 1 species
UACGUAGGGUCCGAGCGUUGUCCGGAAUUAUUGGGCGUAAAGGGCUCGUAGGCGGUUUGUCGCGUCGGGAGUGAAAACUCAGGGCUCAACCCUGAGCGUGCUUCCGAUACGGGCAGACUAGAGGUAUGCAGGGGAGAACGGAAUUCCUGGUGUAGCGGUGGAAUGCGCAGAUAUCAGGAGGAACACCGGUGGCGAAGGCGGUUCUCUGGGCCAAAACUGACGCUGAGGAGCGAAAGCGUGGGGAGCGAACAGG